UAUAAUUCGUGAUCUUAGGGUUAGGUCCGUGACUAUUUUCGUUUGUGAUAUUUAGGGUUUUUGUGAGAGAGAUUUGUGAUGUCUUAGUUUUAUGGGAUGUGGAAGGGGUUGAAUAUGGUGAUGAUACAAGAGUAUUGUGGACUAGAGUUUCAGAUCUGGGAUUCUUCUCCCAGAAGUUGAAGAUUAACCCUUGGCUGUCUGAGUAUUAAUUCCCCUUUCACUCAAUAUCUUAUCUUUUGAUUGAUUUGAAGAUAAAUUUCUCUGUUAUUGUUUUUUUUGUUGGUUGAUGUUUUUUUUUACUUAUGAGCUGAUGAUGAAAAAAAACAAUUAUCUUAGCGGAUUUCAGUGAGGUUUUUGAAUCAAUGAACUGAAUUUGUUACACACACUGAAGCUUAUUUGUUCUUUCAAUGUUUUUUGUUUUGUUUUGUUGGAUUACUGUUAUGGGUUUGAUGAUGAUGAUGCAAUGAUGAGAUAAAAGCACGAAGAGUGUGAGAAGAGCAGUGGGUUUACCGUGAGCUCUCCUUUAAAACGACUUCUCCUUCCACUGAGCAUUUUUUAUCAAAAAUUUUGCCCUAUUGAAGAAAGAGUUUUAGUGUUUUUUGUUUUUGUAUUGGCGUCCAUUACCAAUUCUGAGGGAUAAAAACAGUUCCUUCAGGUAUAAUGGCUUGUGACGCUAUAUUGGUUGUGGUAUAUCCUGAUCUUUUUGCUUUUUUCCAUGCCUUUUGAUCCUGGAAAUGCCUCGCACAUUAUAUCAAUUGGUUUUACUUUUAUCUGAUGCUGGUAAUUACUUUAUUCUAAUGACAACCAACUAUGCUACAUACAUGCAUCUCUUUCUGUCAAAAUUGUUACAUUGUUCAUUUAUAUUAUAUGAUAGUGUUAUCUCGGUGGGCAGAGGGAAGUUGGUUGCGUUAGCUUCUCUAGUAUAUCCGUUUCACAGUUUUUCCUCUGUUGAAUUCUUGCACUAGCUUUCAUAUGGGCCAUAUUAAGUUACAUGUGGGUGGGUGCCGUAACAGUGCAGCAACCAUUCUGCUAGCUUGUGCAAGAGUUUAAAAGUGGUGAAACUUUUAUUUGGAUAAUCGAAUUGGUUGAGGAGUCUAACAAGUGAUAGUAGCUAAAGAGGCUAGAGGGACGCUAGAAAAAGAACAAACCAUGAGCGUAUGAAAUUACUUUAAAACAAUACCCCAUGCCCCAUGAACUAUUAUUCUUCUUCCUCUCUUGUAGAUGAGGCAUUCGGUAUCUUCCUCUACUUUAUCUUCUUCAGUGUCCUUCACUACUACAACUUCUCCAAGCUUCCUUCCAAAUUAUGCUAUCUAUUUCACAUUACGGGGCUUCCGAUUCAACUAAUUUUAAACACAGAAUCCAAAGCCUGCUUGACAACAAAAUGCACAUCUAGAGGAAAUCAGAUUCACCAAAUUCUAAAAAUUAGAAAUCUCAACUUGCCUUUAUUUUAAGCUUCUCACAUCCCACCAUUUUCAUCCAAAGCCUGCUAGACAACCAAAUGCACAUCUAAUCAGAGAUAAAGGAAAACUUGAGGGAUACGUAUAUUUGGAAGCAAUAUGAUCCUGACAUACAUUAUGUGUAUGGUCCUCACUCUUGAGAUGCGUGUUGAAAUCUUCAAAGCUUUGGCCAGCAAAAUCGCACAUUGAGCAGCACGACCAGGGAGACUCACCCGUUUCACUUCACUUGUCCUGAAGAACAAGUCUUGUUGUCAACUUUUUAUCCCCUGCAGACCCUGAAUCCAUAUCAUCUGUUGAAAAAACAAACUAGUUCAGAAACAGCUUUGCUGGCUAUUUCAAAGCUGCGUGAGAGAGAGAGGGUAAGGAAAAACACCUGCUAGUAACUAGUAAGCUUUUCCAGAGCCAUUCUUAUUAAACCCCAGACAUAAAGUUUUUCCAGAGCCAGUCUGGAGCUGGAUGGCGUUGAGGAUAUGCCAGAAGAAUUGUGUAUCCAUCAAUAUUAGGCCAUAAAGAGUACGAGCUAAGCUUUCCAUUCACGACCAGAUAUGAGCAUUAUAUUAGCCGGAGGUGGAUUCCUCUCCACCCACUCAAACAAAUCCGUUUGAAGUUCUGUUUCAGUAAAGAACUUGACCAGAAGAGGCAGAGAUUGACGAGAGAGACCAUAUUGGGUCAUAUUCAUGGAUUUUGGGGACUGCAUUUCUUUGAGAGCUUUAGAGUGUCAUAACCUUUUAGUUGGUCGAAGGUUUUGCAGUUUGUCUUUCUAACAAUUUUAGAAGAAAAAUAUUUUGAAACAUGUAAAACCUCUUUUUUGAAAUGUGUUAUUCUAUCUCUAAUCUUGAAACUGUGAGGUUUUGUGAUAUACAGUAUAACCUCUAUAAAUUAAUACUAUAUAAAUUAAUAAUUUUUAUAAAUUAAUAAAUUCUUACGGUCCCCAGUUGGGACCAGUGUAAAAAAUGACAUAAAUCGAUAAAUUAAUAAGAUAAUAUUUUUUUUGAAAGUCCUAUGUAAAUCUAUGGUCCCAUCAAUAUCAUAAAUUAAUAAUUAUAUAAAUAUAUCAACUAUAUAUAUAUAUAUAUUAUAUGUAAAAAAAAAAUUAUAAUAUAUUUAUAAUAUUUUUUUGCUUAAAUUCAUAUUUAUUCUUUGUUUGACUAUAGUUUUCAUAUUUUACUGUAUCAAAACUUUUGGUGUUGUUAUCUAAACAAUAUUAUUAUGUUUUACUUUAACUGGUUCUAGAAAGAUAUUUUCUAUAAUGAAAGAAAUCUUAUAGAAAUUUUUAAAAAGUUACCAAUUUAGAAAAAUCUCUCUAGAAAUUGAUAAAUAUUAAUUUAUCGAUAAAUUAAUACCUCUCUAAAUUAAUAAAAUUUUGUAGUCCCAACAUUAUUAAUUUAUAGAGGUUUUACUGUAGCUUGAAUUUUAACUUUCUAAUUUAUUUAUAGAAAUUCAUGAAAGUUCAUUUUUUUGAUAUAGCUUUUAAUAACACCAAAAUUUAAUGAAAUAUUUUCAAAUUUUAUAAUAAUGUAUAACUUAAAGUCAUCUAUGUAUUUCUAUGAACAAAAAAUGUAAAACAGAAAGCAAAGAAAUACCAAGUAGUACAAUAUACCACCAUAAUAACAUCUAAAGUAAAUAUGUUUGUACACAAAAAUUUGAUACCAAAAGUAAGAGAGAUCAAAUGAAGAGUAUCCUCCAUGGCGCUAAAGAGACACAUAAUGUUAUCCACCACAACGAUGAUCCUCUUAGAUUUAAUCCUGCUCAAUUUAAGACAAAACUCAAAAUCUUCAAUAAGUAAUAUCUUUAUUAAAGAGAAACUAUCUUGUUUUAACGAGUCAAACCUUGAUUCUUGCUGCUAUCAGGCAGAGCAGGUGGAGAAGACGAUGAUGAGUUUGACAAAGGAAUCCCAAGAUUCAAACAGUCCAUUCCAAGUGCACCUAUCAAACACAAACAAUCUCAAUUUUUGAGUCUUGGUUUUUCUUCAAUUGACAAUACAUAAAAAAUGUUCUGCUUACAUUGCUUCAAGCAAGGAAAUGUGGUUAUGUUCAUGAGAUUGCUGUAACCUUCACGGCAAUUGCAGCUGUAUUGAAACGGCAUUGAACUGUUGCAAAGCCCUCCUCCACAGUCCAUCCAUUGACAAGCUAUAGUAAAAAACACACACAAGGAGGAAGCAAAUGAGAUUAGAGGCCCAACGUUUGUAGCUCUACAAGUUUACUAGGAGACCUUGUAAAGGAAAUGUGUCUCAAGGUCUCAAGUUCUAGUCUCAUCCUGGGGAAGAGGCUAAUAUUAACAUGCUCUGAUCUUCGACCCACGGGGACUAUAUGCCUAGGGCCGGAAAAGCAUAAAAAGAAUGAGAUUAGAGAUUUACGGUCGAAAAAUGAAGUAAUGUUGUCUUUGGGAGGCGGUUUGGGUUGUGCUGGAGAAGCUGCUUCACCACAUGUUAGAUCAAAGGUACCUAAUAAGAUGCAGUGAAUACUUUGUUAUGUUCUCUAUAAUGAUCAAACCAAUCUAACCAGUGAUCAAGGGAGAGAUAUUACAGUUGGGGGUGAUGCAAGGGAGAAACUUGAGGUGUUGAUCAAACUGCUUCCAACCGUCUUCACACUCACAUUCAUACAUAAAAGUUGUGUUUGAAGGUGCUUUGCAUUUCCCUUUCCCACAUUCCACUUCCUUGCAUAUAUUAUCUGUGUUUUUUUUCCCCACAAUAAUUGUAUCAACCAACUUUAAAUCAUUAACAAAAAAAUACUUGAUGAGUCACAAUCUACUAAAUUGGAAAUUUGAGAAGGACCCUUCAAAGAAGAUCACUUUUUACUCAAAAACCAACUCAUAAAGAUACUUUAAUUCUGUCACGAAAAAAAAGUAUGUCCUCUUAUUACAUCUCUAGUUCAAAUUUCGGCGGGAGUUUAACCCUAAUCUUGACAUAAUCAAGUUACAUGUCUAUUCUUGGACACAUAAUCAAGUUUUGUUCUUCCUAAAUAAAGUUUAGUAUUUAAACAGAUUAUCCUUGUUUAUUUUUGCUAAUGAGAUAAUCAUUGUUUCAAAGAAGUUAAAUACAUCAAUGAAAAACUAGAGGAACUUAACUUCAAUUAACAAUAAAUCAAGAUUUGGAUUAAACGAUCCCACCAAUAUCAAAUAUGAGAAAAACAAUUCAGGAAAAAGUGAGGAAGAGGAAGGGACAUACCAUACACAGGAGCGAAAAGAGGAGAAAGGAAAUCGGAAGUAGCUGUCUUCUGGUUGAUCAGAAGUAAAGCAGCAACAAGACAGAGUGUGUUCCUAAGACGAGCCAUGAUUCUGUCUUCUUCUCCCUUAAUUUGAAGUACACAGAAAACAAUUAAUUUGAAAUAACAAAAUAAGAAGACGAAAGAUUCUUGGACUUUUGUUAUAUAAAUUAGUUGAGGAUUUGGUAAGUGUGUAAGGUGGAUACGGAUGUCAAUAGUGAUGUGGACUGACCGACUUGGCUACAGAUUUUCUUGAGUUAGUUAUUAGUUGAUUGCUGAGAUCCAAUUAAUGCGUUUAAUUUUCAUUUCUUUGUUUUUUUUAUAUAUUUAGGGUCAACAUAUUCAAUAAAUUAGUCUUGAAAAUAAUCAUAUCAUAUUGGAGCAAAUAAAAAAGAGAAGAAUAAUAAUCAUUCAUAUCAUAUUUUUUUGUUGCACUUGCACAAUAUUGACAUUGAUAUUAAGUUCUAUCAUAUAUAAUAUAAUUAUUGUGUUUAUUACGAACAAAACAAGUUUUAUGGAUGAAUCUGACAAAAAAAACGGCAGAAAGCUAAUAAAUUAUGAUCAAUAAAUUAGUGUUGAAAUUAAUAAUUCAAACCUGUUUCUUUUUGUUCUAAAAAUGCCACUGAUAUAAAGUUUUCUCAAAUAAACAGGGUUAUUGAAUUGAAAAUUCAUACUAUGAUUACUAUUAAUCAGAUUCUAAAUAAUUUAUAUGAAACAAUUCUACAUAAGAAAAUAGAGAAAUCCUUUAUACUAGAAUUCUAGGAAUAAAAAAUCUUAAAACUCUAUACUAAAUCAGAUUAAUAGAUUAAUUAGUCAUAGACAUAUAAUUCUAUUUUUAACAUAAUAUGUUUUUACUUCAUUGUAGCCAUGUGAUACUUAAAAAGUAGAAAGUAAUAAGUGUUUAAAAAGUUCUGUUGAAUUCCAUACCUAAAAAAAAUUCUAAGAAGUUGCAUUUAUAGUUUAAAAGUAUUUAUGUCAAACAUGCUCAUCUAGUUUAUAGGACACGGUAUGCCUUCUAUUUUAUCCGAUAGAAUGGCAAAAAGUCAAGUCACCGGCCCAUCGAACACGCUUAUGUAAUAAAGAUCACGACUUCAGAACUCUCACGUUGAGCAGUCGCCAUUCUAAAGCAAAACAGUGUUUCUAUUUUAUUUUUUAUUUUUUAUUAAAGAGAAACAAAUACAAGGUCAAGCAAACUGAAAGAGGCACAUAUACCCCAAAAAAACGCAUAUGCCAAACAACAACAAAAAAAAAAAACCAAAACUAUAAAAAAAUCUUAAACGCUCAAGAAGUCCGGACACAAAAGGAGAAGAGACCCCUUAAUCUAAGAAAAUUAACCAAGCGGAGAGUAGAGAAAACCAUGGAGGAGCGAUACGUUGCUUUUUAGCAAGAUGAUCAAGACGCGCCCACAUUAACGACUUGAUGUCUUUGAUGAUUGACGUGGGGUCUUGAAAUUCGUAGUGCAGAUACGAGAGUUACAUUUCUUCCAAAGGAGAUAGACCGCUGCCUGAAACACAAUUAUUAUGAUCAAAUCAAGAUUUGGAUCCCUAGUAGCCGAGUAGACCCAGUGAAAACAAGCCAUAAAAUGGUUUGGGGGUAACCAAGUGUCGUUAGCUCAAUUGGUAAAGAUCCUAGACAAAGUUUAGAGAUUGCUGGUUCGAGUGACGCUUAGGACGAAACUAAUAUUACUGGCUGUAGUUUCGGGUCUGGGAGAUUAUGAGUUUCGGUCCAGAACUUCCUGUUAUUCAAAAAAAAAAAAGUUCAAACAACAUAACAGGUAAUAAAAAACAAGUACUCUCUUAACUCAUUAGAACCGUUGCAACGAACACAAGAGGGAGAGAUAAAAUGUCCCUCGAUCCUAAGUCUAUCACGGUUCACGGGGGAUGAUGGUCCGACUUCCACAAAUAGAUGUCAUCAUCCAAAGGAUUCAACUCCCAUAAAUUCCUAUUCCCAUUGUUUCUGUUACCAGUGUUUCUAUUUUAUAAAAGAGGAUUAAAAUCACGGCACAAAUUCAACCUUAAGCAUUAAAAUUGAAGUACAAACUCAAAAGACUUCCCCUAAGCUUUCCAAUUAAAACCCGAAAACGCAAUAAGAACACCAAUAUGAUUGGAGAUCCCCAAAUGAAAUAUGUCGUAAUAGCUUGAUGGUAUUGAGUAGCAAAGAGAAGUAUUUAUAUACAAUGAGUUUCCUAUAUUACGACAAGACUGUAUCUAAGUAAAUCUAGUUAAAUAAAAGAUUGACAUAUACAUAUCUAGUUUAAUAUCUAAAAGGGACAAAAACAAAACUCAAACGACCUUGCUAUAUUUCCGCAUACAAUCAAUUAUUUGUGUCGUCUACCCAUUCAUCGCAUAUAAAAUCCAAACAUUGGGCAUAUACAUAUCAAUUUCAGUGGUUUCUAACCAAACAAAUAUAUUCUCGAUUUCAUUUUGUAGUUCGUGUUCAGUCCUACUCAUACAUCACAGAUUGGUUUUGCUGACUUUGGUAAUGGGCCUUAUAUCUAUUAGGGCAUUGGGCUUCAUUCCUUAACGCUUACUUCGCAAUUAAUAAACUAAUAUACACUACUUAUAACACUGAUCACGUCCAGUUAUUUUAGCCGCCAGAACUCAGAAGACAUGCAAAAGAUCUAAAUGCAGCAGAAAUAAAAGAUUCGAAAAUAGUGUCUACGUCAGUCAAUCAAAUAAUGUUGAAACAUUGAGACAAAUUUCAAUAUUGGAUUGGCAAAAAGAACCAGAAAUAGAAGUAGAAGAAGCUAAAUUUUGUAAGCAGAAAGUGGCGACAUGAUCCGAGAACCGAGAGUUUCGUGUUUCGAUAUGUUAACAGAUUUCAUUUAUAAACCAUGGUAACUCUAUAAUUUUGACAGCUCAUCCACUUUAGUAAACAUUUAAUACGUAGGAAUUAAGUGGUUAUGUGGUCCAUGCAUAUGUCUCGAUACUAACACGUAAAUGGAAAUAUGGUUUCAUUCGUACCUAUGUUUCUGUAUCCACAUACGAGUAUAUUUACUUAUGUUUUUUUUUAGUUUUAAAAUUAUUAAUGGAGUAUAUGUCUAAUAUAUCUGACCGAAACUAAUGUCAACUUGUUUAACUAAAAACCCUUACAUUUUUCUUCUAUUUCUUCUUCUUUUUUGUACUACGAUAAAAAAAAAUCAUAAAAUAUGUAAUUAUAGCUUUAUAACUUUACUCAGUUGCAAAAUAGAUAAGAGUUAAAUUGAAGUAAGAAAAAAAAGUCAUGACCAAUAAUGCACUAAUUACUAAAGCACAAGAAGAAGAAAAAUCAUCAAAAUCAUCUUUUAUAGAAAAACAAAGAACUUUUAUUGUUUUCGACCAAUUAAACGGUGCGAGUGAAAUAUCAUUAUUUGAUUAGUCCAUUGUCGUAUUCUCUAGCAACUCCACCUCUAGUUUACUUCCUCAAGAAAGAGUCAUAUCAUACGUUAAGUCUAUAUCGGCAAAUCUUGACCAAAAGAAUAUAUCAAAUAGAAUAAAAUAUAUUGAGAUCGAAAGGAAUAGACUCUUAUUCCAAAGAUUAGAAAUCAGAAUGAAAAUGGAUCGGCAAACGGCGCCGUAUUUGUUGCCGGCCGCCGGGAAUAAACAAGAAAAGUAAUGGCAACAAACAUCAAAGUAAUGGUUUGGAUAGAUCGAUGAAACCAUAAUUGAGGACGCUAGUCAACGUAUUGUAGUAACAUGCCAUGUGAUUGCCAGCUUCAUGCACAGACACCGACAUGUAUUAUCAUGCUACUAUUCAUAUAUUAAUAUCAAUAUAUUAGUCUUAUGUAGGAAUUUUUUAGUUAACUAUUAAUGCACGAUAAUUAAGGAGUGAUGAUGACAAAUCCUCAUGCAUAUAUAGUUGGAACAAAGUUCCAAUUCAUGCACUAACCACUAGUUAAUCGUCAAUGACAGAGCGAGAGGCAGCAAUAAUCUUCUCUGAUGAUUGGCUUCCAGAUUCAACAACUUAAUUAUAUCAAUGUUUUUUUUGGGUGCAAUUUGAUUUAUAUAUAUACUAGUUAUUUAGCAUCUCAAGACAUUCUUAUCAUAUUUAAGUUGAUAACUUGAUAUUGUAAUCAGAAUCAUCAAAUAUUGACAUUGUACGAUGCAUGCAUUUCAUUAGAUCCACACUGUCUGAUCCGCUUCUUCCAUUUGGAGUUUUUGUAUACUAAUCCCUGAUACUAAUAUAACUAUUUAAUUCAUUUUUUGUUUGUUUAAGAUAUCAUUUUUUACGAGAUUUGAGUGAGACAUUGCAUUGGUUGAACUAAUUCACCACAAAAACCUAAUUCAUUACAUACGGACCAUUUCUGAUUGUUUUAAACUUAAUUUCAACUAACUCUUAUUUAUUGUGGUACCUAAAUUUCCUAUAUAAUAAUAAGCACAUUUAAGAAAAUUUGUCGAUCUCAAGUUUCAACAACUGUCUAUUAAACCCAAAUUGUCUAGAAGCAGCAUCCAUCUUCUCAAGCUAAACAAUUGAAUUUAGACCUAUCAUAUAUGCAUCAUAUCUAAUUAUCAUUUAUGGAUCUAUGGGAAACAAAUAAGCAAGAAAUAUUGUGGUAUAGGGUCUAAUUACUAUCAAAACGUGUCCUACAUUUUGAGGGGGUCCUCCGACCAAGAAAAUAAAUACUUUGGAAUUAAUCUUUAAUGCUGUGAAGACAUAAAAGAUAAGUAUACCAAUUUUAUUAGCAAGCGUCACUUACUGAAAAACAAUCCCUAUAAGAUUUCUAUUUCUGCACAAAAGAAGAAAAAACAUGAAAGGUUAUAUAGUACUUAUAUAUCCAUCGAAUUUAUACGCCCACAAAUGACUAAUGCCUGAUUCACAUGCAGGCAAUUCAAAACUAGCUCAAUUUUCUUCUGUUAACCAGCUCUGAUUACUCAUUUUAUCUAAUAGUGUUGGAUUAUAUAUAGGGAUAAAAUGUGAUGUAUAGAUAUCUCUUGAAUAGUCUCAUUCGACUGACCACAAACUAAACUACUAACAUCAUUUUCUCAUACAUUUCAGCGUGGGCCAAUAAAGCCAACGUGUUUUUAUUAUUCCAAAUGUUGACAUAAGAUAUAAUCUAUUAUAUGGUAAUGGUAAUAUGUGUCUCAUUCUCAUGCUAAAAUCCAUGAACGCAGAACGUCUCUCAUCAUAAAAUACUAGAAGUUAAUGAUAAAUUAUGUCACACGGAUUCUGCAUGUUCUUAUACCCUUUUUUCACAUGGCUCACCCAUCACAAAUCUCACUAUCUAAUGACUUAUUCACCCCUUUCUAAGUCCAUGUCCAAGUCCAAAACUCUAGGUGUCUAUUUCUUUUGGAUGAGCAGUGAUGUAUCAAUAUCUCAUUAUGUUACGUAGCUAUCUUAGCUAGGUUCAUCACAUACGCCGUCCUACAUAUAUUAAGUGUUGAAUAGAAAGUUAAUUCCAUCUAUCUCAAUUAUCAACCAACGUAACUAUCGUAUUUAGAUAUCAAUCACACACACACACACACACACACAAAAGUUUAUGUGAUUAAUUAGGAGUAGGAUUCGGAGCUACAUUUAAAUGCAAGUUCAAACUCUACAAUAUCGAUAACAAUAUUAACUCAAUUGUUUAAUUAGUCUACUUAUCUUUUAUUGAGUAAACUCGAAGGAUAUGUAUGAGUUGCAUAAGAGGGUAUUCUAGUACUUUGUGAUAUCCAACGAAUAAGGCAAGGAAUCUAAUCUGAGCUAAUCAUAAUUAUUGAGAUUGUGUGUAGUUGGCCUUCGAGUGGAUAAAUCGUGGCUAUGGAGCUUCCGUUCUGCUUCUUCUUCUCCCAAAUUAUUAAGUCAUCCUCCAAAUCAUAUUUCACUAAACUUGCAAAAAAUAUAAAAAAGUAUAUAUCUUCAUAAUUAAUGAAUGGUAAUUAACCUACUAAAUUUUCAUUGAUUUAUGUAUAAUGGUUAUGUGUUUUUAUAUUACAUAUAUAGUUUACUAGAGUUUAAACAUUCCAACAUAAUUCCACUAAAACUCAACCAAAAAGGGGGUACAAAAAAAGAGAAAAAAAAAAUUAAAUGUUAUUGAGUGAUGGGUAGUUAAAGAACUUAUGGUGUUAGGCUGUCCAAAAAGAGAAGCAGUUAAAGAGUUUGGAGUACAAUGUCUUAAACAAGAAAAUGUCUGUCCCAUUAUAACAUCUCGAAACCAAACACACACACACACACAUAUAACAAUCUCUUCUUCUCUGACAUUACACAAUGGUGGUUUGAGUUUACAGAAGAUAAUAAUGGGGAAAACUAGCAAAUGGUUUCGAAGUCUCUUAACCGGAAAGAAAGAGAGAACAAAGGAACAUAUCAUUCAAAGCGAGUGUGUAUUCACUUCUUCCAUUCCAGGCACUCCUAAGGAGAAACGUCGAUGGAGUUUUCGACGUUCUUCAGCAACUGGACCACCGCCACCAGCUUGUGCUAUUACACUGAAAGAUUCACCACCACCGCCGCCACCACCACCUCCACCUCCACCGCUACAACAACCAUUUGUGGUCGAAAUCGUGGACAAUGAAGAUGAACAAAUCAAGAACGUUUCAGCUGAAGAGAUUGAAGAAUUUGCAGCAAUAAAGAUUCAAGCGUGCUAUCGUUCUCAUUUGGUAAAUGUUUACAAAAAUUCCAAGUAACGAAUCCAUUUUUUUUCUAUUUUUUCUAUUUUUUUGCUUCAAUUAGUCUAACAAAAGAAAUCAAAAUUUUAUAAAUUUUGUGGUAGGCGAGGAAAGCAUUAAGAGCAUUAAAAGGGUUAGUGAAAUUACAAGCACUAGUGAGAGGUCAUUUAGUAAGGAAACAAGCAACAGCUACACUUAGAUGUAUGCAAGCAUUAAUAACACUUCAAGCCAAAGCUCGAGAACAGAGGAUUCGUAUGAUCGGAGGAGAUUCAACAAAUCCAAGAACAUCGAUUCACAAAACCAGGAUCAAUAACUUUUACCACGUAAUGGAUCUACAAAACCCAUAUCUCAAAAUCCAAACUUGACAAUGACUCCUCAAUUUGACCUAACUUUUAAAAUCCUCUGUUUUUUGGCAGGAGAAUGAAGAAAACAUCAAGAUUGUGGAAAUGGACAUUCAAUCGAAAAUGUACUCUCCGGCUCCUUCGGCUUUAACCGAGAUGAGUCCUCGCGCGUAUAGUAGCCAUUUCGAGGAUUGUAACUCAUUCAACACAGCUCAAAGUAGUCCACAAUGUUUCAGCAGAUUCAAAGAGUAUUACAAUGGAGAUACUUUGUCUUCUUAUGAUUACCCUCUCUUCCCUAAUUACAUGGCUAAUACUCAGUCUUCUAAAGCCAAGGCUCGGUCUCAAAGUGCGCCGAAGCAGAGACCUCCUGAGAUCUAUGAGAAGCAGAUGAGUGGGAGGAGAAGAUCUUCGAUGGAAGCACCGAGGAAUAACGGUGUCCCGAGAGCUGUAAGGAUGCAGAGAUCUUCAUCUCAACUAGGGUCAAACACAGCCAAGGAAAGUCAACAACAUCAUCAUCAUCAGUACUAUCCGUGGAUGGCGAUAAAGCUCGAUAGAUCUAAUAUUUCGCUUAUGGAGAGCGAAUGCGGAUCUACAAGUACCGUUAUGACUAAUACCAACUACGGUAGACAUGUUGAUGUGAGUCCGGAAAGAUUACUUGUUUCACAAGAAAAUAUGAAUUUUGAGAUUAGCACUUAUAUUUCUUGACUUUGUAUUAUUGCAGGUUCAGGGAAACAACAACAUGUACUGAACACUGUGCUUUAGAAUUUGAGAGAUUGCUGGAAAAAUAGGCAAGCCUAAAAAACGAAGAGGACAGGUUUAUAGGAGUUUUUUUUAUGAUGAUGGAGAUUUAACAAUCUCUAUAUGUAAAGCAAAAAAUGUAGUAGACUGUAGAAGUGACUCAUCUCGUCUUAAAUUUUGAUUUUUCCUUUUUAAUUAUCAUUCGAAUUAACGUUAACAGUAUUUGUCAAAUUCAUGGAUGUUACUAUGUUCAAAAUCCAUAAUUUGUAUAUUGAUUCGAUUACAUUAGUCAUCAGCAAACUGAAUUACAAUCAAACAGGACAGGAAAAAAAAUUGAAAUUUACUUGGCGAUUAUAUUACAAAAUAAACUAGUUAUCAAAGUACCUUGGAAUGACUCUAAUCAAAUUUUAAUUUGGUUUUGAAGACAAAAAUUCGGUACAGCUCUGGUUUGGUAUGGUCAGACCGAAACGAACACUCAUUAAUGAAGUUAAAGUUGGACAGUUCCAGUGGGUAUAGCCCAAUAAGCGUGAUAGGCCCAUAAACUGUUCAUAUCAUAAAGCCCACGUAAUUCUUUUUUUAUUUUUUUUAAGUUACGGUAUGAAAAGUUUCUUCAGCUCAAUAAUAUAACUUCUCCCCUGCUUCUUGUUUUCUUUUCUUUUUCUUGUAUCCAUACAAACGCAGAAGAGUGACAUUCGCGUUGCGUAUAUGAAACACACGUUUGUUAUUGGGGACUCUACUCGCCUUAAUUUUUGGAUUAGAAGUAAUUGAAUGAUAUCUUACACCAUUGGUAAGCAUCACCUUCGUAAAUAAUGUAACCAUAUUUCAUACCGAAAAGUUAAUAAUGCAACCAUAUCGAUUUAUUUCACCUAAUGCUAUGAUACACAUUGUUUUAAACAUGGAUUGAUUAUACCAUCCUCACAAUUGUACAUUUUUGUCAAAUUAUAGUUCAGUGUUGUUAUAAUAUUCACCGGGAUGAGAAGGACACAAUAAUGCCACCCUUAUAACAACGACAUUUCUCCAUACCUAACAUUGACAAUUCACUUACUAUAUGGCAAAAUGAAUAUGAUAUGAAGACCCUACACUUUAUCUUACAUAUACGUCCAAAUUGGCUACAUUUGUCCAUGAAUAUAAUAAAAUACACAAACACAAAUCUUCUGAGAAACAUGUAUUGCUUGGUAAUUACCAUUAUAUUAUCACACGAUGGAAUCAAAUUUUACAAAGAAAAAAAAUCUUUUAUCAUUUUUGGCUUUUGAUGAGGACUUUACAGAUUAAUUGAGUUUCUAUUGUUAGCUUCAUUAGUGACCAAAACAAGACAGGUUAUAAACUUGUUCUCACAUAUAACUCUUUUUGUGACAUCCCACCUUUUUUUAUGUCUCUUCUACUCACAUUUUUUUCUGUGGAGAUCUUGAUGACCCCUCUUCUUGAUCAUUAUCCAUUUUUUAGAUCUUGAACGUACACUUAUUGAUGUUUGUUGGUGGAAAUGUGGCUUGCGUGCAAAACAAAAAGAAAAAUAUUUGAACAUCUUGCGGUUUUUGAGACUCUAAGAUUGUAAUUUGACAAGCACUUUAUCCUCACUAAUACAUGUAAUCAAAUGAUAUAACAAUUUGAAUUAUAACUUUUUAUACAUUUAACUGUGUUUGUAGGCAUUUGUUUUAGUUUAAAUAUCUUUUUAAACUAUCUAUUUUCAAUAUUGAUAUUUCAAUUUUGACGAUUUUUGUAAUUAAAAAAAAAUUGUUAUUUAAAUAGGCGACUUUACAUUGGAGGCAAUAUCUCUUACUAAAUUUUGUGAUUAAAAUUUGUUUUUUUUUUUUAAAAUGCAGUCAUCUUCCGGAAAAGAUCAAUCGUCCUCUUGAAACCCCUAAUUUUCUAUUGCUGAAAUCUUUAAUAAUUUCACUAAACAUCAUUAAUAUCGAUGAUCACAUCUUAUCCAGGGCCAAAACAAUAUCUAUCUCACCGAUCCUCCCGUUAAUAGUUCAUUUGUCAACGGCUAUAAUCGUUCAGACAUAGUAUUGAAUAUCAGUGAGAUCUUUCACUUUGCAACAAUUUUUUUUAUUAGUUAAGAAGAGACAUUAAACAAUAUUUGCUUACUCCUUUGUUAAUACAUAUGAUUAAUUAAGAACACAAAAAGCUAAUAUGCAUGAUUACACGGGCAAUAAUGUUGUUCAACAUGUCCCUUUUUAUAAAGUGAGAAGUGUAAAUAUUUAUUUUCUUGAAAAAGUAGUUACAGGUGAUAAGUUUGUAUAUAGAACAACAAUUGAAUACAUGCAUGCCUAACAUUUCUUAAAACAUAACAUGCCCAACUUAUUGCUAACUUCAGACUAAUAAAUGAGAUGGUGUGAUACACACACUAUAUAUAAUAUAUGAGAGAAGCUUAAACUACUAAAUACAUGUAAAAUGCUAAAAUAAUGUUUUCUUUAUACAGUUGAUCAUUUUAGACUAAAAAAUCAGAUUACAUAAUCUAAAAUAAAUCAUUGUCGAAAUUAAAUUAAACAAAGAUAUCUAAGACAUUAUUCAUUAUUGAAAUUACUGUAUUUAAUGUGGACACAUUUGUCGUAUGUUGAAAUUUUUGAUAUGUCACAUUUGUGCCUCUCUGCAUAUCAAAGUCUUUCAUAUUUAAAUCCUAUCAUAUUGCCGACACUUAAAAUCCUUUUUUUUUUCUUUCACUAAACCAUAUUCCUAUAAAGAUACAAAAAUUUCCUUAAAUUUCGUUAAACAGGUAAUUUUUCUACUAUUUAAUUACAAAAUGACACCAAGAUAAAAAAGAGUCCAAAAGAUAUAGACAAAAAAAAGGUAAGAAAAUUUAUUUUUACAAAAAAAAGGUAAGAAAAAUUAUUAAAAAUCGAAUAUUUACUAUAUGCGCCAAUCAUACUAAUUAUUCUCUUGUCACGCAGUGUAGACGAAGGAGAGAGAGAAGAGAAUGUUGUGUGUCUCUGUGGUUCUCCUCCAUUGAUGUCUGAAACUGAAGAGUCAAGUGAUUGAAUUUGUGUUCUUGUUUUUUACCCUUUGUAUAUAUUUCUUUUUGGGUAAGUAAGUGCUUUUGAUCCUUUAGAAAUUCUCUGAGAUAAAUCGUUUUCGCUUGAUGUUUCAGUUUUCAAUCGAAAGUUGUCAUCUUUGUGUCGCUGUUGCUUGCAUUCAUCACAAGUUUUUCUCCUGAAUUUCGAUAAAGUUACUUCCUUUGGCAAUUUUGUUGCUACCCAUUUUCAUAUUUCUGGUUAAUUUCAUCUACAAGUAAGAUUUGUUUAGCUUUGUUUGUGUAUAUAAGUUUGAUUAGUUUUGUUCCCAAAGUUUGACGAAGAAUUGUUAUUUGCUGUCUCUAUUAUUGGUGGUUGAUGAAGUGUCUGUCUCUCUAUGAUACAUUUUCCUGAAGUCUGCAGUUUUCAGUUUGUACCAACUCAAUUCUUAUGAAACAUAAAGACUAGCUUUUCCCUUUUCUCCCUCUUCUUGAUUGUGUUUUGUUAUACAUUAAAAAGCUUACUCAUGUUUGUAUCUUUGUCUAUGCCUUGUUUGAAGAUAGUUUUGUGUGUUAUCUCUCUGAAGAUUGCUGUUUUUUUUUUCUUGUUCAGGACGAUCCAGUGUUUAUCAUUCUUAAGGACACCAAAUUGAUAUUUAGCAUUAAGUACAAAUCCACAGUGCAAAGGUUUGUUUGCAUUGGGAAAGCAAUUUAAAUCUAAUGUAACUUCCUUCGUUGUUUAGCUUGAUUAUAAGGUCAUUUUGUUUCAGUUUUGUAGAAUUCUUAGUUUCUAGCAUACUAGUAGAGGAUCAAAGGAAUCAAGUAGUUUACUUUGGCGUAGAACCCGUUCGUUGAGCUUCUUGCAGCAGCUGUUAUGGCCAGUCUGUCGCAGUCAGAAUCUGGGAGGUUGUACUCGUGGUGGUGGGAUAGUCACAUUCCUAAAAACUCAAAAUGGAUUCAGGAUAACCUUGCAGGUAUUCUAUAAUCUUUCUUGACUUCUCCUUGGUGUUUUUUAUGAGUCUUGAAAAUUGUGGCAUUAUAAUGCUUUUGAUUUGUAUGUUUAAAGAUAUUUUGUUUCUUUUGGAAGUCAAUUUAAAGGAAAUAUUUGUUUGUGUUGAAACAGACAUGGAUUCCAAAGUCAAGACAAUGAUAAAGCUCAUCGAAGCUGAUGCAGAUUCGUUUGCAAGAAGGGCAGACAUGUACUUCAAGAAACGUCCAGAGCUAAUGAAACUGGUGGAAGAGCUAUACAGAGCUUAUCGUGCUUUAGCUGAGAGGUAUGAUCAUACAACUGUGGAGCUUCGGCGUGCGCAUAAAGUCAUGGUUGAGGCGUUUCCUAACCAGAUGUCUUUUGACAUGAUUGAGGAUUCUGCAUCAUCUUCUUCUGAGCCUCGUACAGAAGCAGAUACAGAAGCUCUACAAAAGGAUGGUACUAAAAGUAAAAGGAGUUUUAGUCAGAUGAAUAAAUUAGAUGGAACUUCUGAUUCUCACGAAGCAGAUUCUGAAGUUGAAACCUUAAAGAGAACAUUGCUUGAGCUUCAGACUGAAAAGGAAGCUUUGAAUCUCCAAUAUCAGUUAAUCUUGAGCAAAGUAUCCAGAUUUGAAAAGGAACUCAACGAUGCUCAAAAGGAUGUUAAAGGAUUUGAUGAACGUGCUUGCAAAGCUGACAUUGAGAUUAAAAUACUCAAGGAAUCUCUUGCAAAGCUAGAGGUGGAGAGGGAUACUGGGCUUCUUCAGUAUAGUCAAGCCAUUGAGAGAAUAGCGGAUUUGGAAGCAUCGAUUUCUCAUGGGCAAGAAUAUGCGAAGGGGCUCACUAACCGAGUGUCUGAAGCAGAAAGAGAAGCCAUGAGUCUCAAGAAAGAGCUUUCUAGAUUGCAGUCUGAGAAGGAGGCUGGCUUGCUACGAUACAAUAAAAGCCUUGAGUUGAUAUCUUCCUUAGAGAAGACAAUUAGAGAUGCGGAGGAGAGUGUUAGAGUAUUCAGGGACCAAUCGGAACAAGCAGAAACUGAAAUCAAAGCUUUGAAACAAGAACUUCUGAAGUUGAACGAAGUCAAUGAGGACUUGAAUGUUCGAUAUCAGCAGUGUUUGGAGACAAUAUCAAAGUUAGAGAGAGAAGUUUCUCAUGCUCAAGAUAAUGCCAAAAGACUGAGCAGUGAAGUUCUUGCUGGCGCUGCAAAAAUAAAGACUGUGGAGGAACAAUGCGCUCUUUUGGAGAGCUUCAAUCAAACAAUGAAGGUAGAAGCAGAAAAUCUAGCGCACAAAAUGUCAGCUAAGGAUCAAGAACUUUCCCAGAAGCAAAACGAGAUUGAAAAGCUUCAAGCUGUAAUGCAAGAAGAACAAUUGCGGUUUUCAGAACUUGGAGCUAGCCUUCGAAAUUUGGAGAGUUUGCAUUCUCAAUCCCAAGAGGAGCAGAAGGUUCUCACCUCAGAACUUCAUAGCCGGAUUCAAAUGUUGAGAGAACUGGAGAUGCGAAAUAGUAAGUUGGAAGGUGACAUCAGCUCUAAAGAAGAAAACCGAAACUUAAGCGAAAUAAAUGACACUUCUAUCUCCUUGGAGAUUCAGAAAAAUGAGAUCUCUUGCUUGAAGAAAAUGAAAGAAAAGCUCGAGGAAGAAGUUGCGAAACAGAUGAACCAGAGCAGUGCCCUUCAAGUAGAGAUCCACUGUGUGAAGGGUAAUAUUGACAGCAUGAAUAGGAGAUACCAAAAACUAAUUGACCAAGUAAGCCUCACAGGUUUCGAUCCCGAAUCUCUUUCCUACUCCGUGAAGAAACUACAAGACGAGAACUCGAAGCUAGUCGAGUUAUGCACCAAUCAGAGAGACGAAAAUAAUGCUGUUACAGGGAAGCUAUGUGAAAUGGACAGCAUUCUAAAGAGGAAUGCUGAUUUGGAGAAAUUGCUUCUGGAAUCAAACACCAAACUAGACGGUUCCAGGGAGAAAGCGAAGGAUCUGAUAGAAAGAUGUGAGUCUUUACGAGGAGAGAAAUCUGAGCUUGCUGCCGAGAGAGCUAACUUGGUUUCCCAGUUGCAAAUCAUGACUGCGAAUAUGCAGACACUCUUGGAAAAGAACUCUGUAUUAGAGAAAUCCCUGUCUUGUGCAAACAUUGAGCUUGAAAGUUUGAGGGAUAAGUCAAAGUGCUUUGAUGAUUUCUUCCAGUUUCUCAAAAAUGAUAAGUCUGAGCUUAUGAAGGAAAGAGAAUCUCUUGUCUCUCAGUUGUGUAAGGUUGAGGAGAAGCUAGGAGUCUUGGAGAAGAAGUAUACAGAACUGGAAGUAAGGUAUACUGAUUUACAGAGAGAUAAUAAGCUCAAAAGCCAUCAAGUAGAAGAGUUACAGGUCUCACUUGCCGCUGAGAAGCAGGAGAGUGCUAAUUACAAACGAUCUACUGAAAGCAGAUUAGCAGAUCUUCAGAAGAAUGUGAGCUUUCUUCGAGAAGAGUGUCGUUCCAGGAAAAGAGAGUACGAGGAUGAGCUUGACAGAGUUGUAAACAAACAAGUCGAGAUCUUCAUCUUGCAAAAGCUUAUAGAAGAUCUAGAGCAGAAGAAUUUUUCUCUCCUGAUUGAGUGUCAGAAGCAUGUUGAAGCAUCAGAAUUUUCCGAGAAACUCAUUGCUGAGCUGGAAAGUGAGAAUCUCGAGCAGCAGAUGGAAGCAGAAAUAUUUUUGGAUGAGAUUGAUAGCUUGAGAGGUGCAAUCUAUCAGGUGAUAAAGGCACUUCAAGUUGAAGCAGAUUGCAAGACUGAACAGAAGAUUACAAAAGACCAAAUUUCAGUUUCACGUGCUUUGGGAGAGAUUGAUAGCCUAAAAGGUUCACUCUCCAGUGCUGAAUAUGAGAUGCAUCGACUUGUAGUUGAGAACUCGGUGCUUUUAUCUCUACUUGGACAAUUCCAGUCAGAUGGUUUGGUGCUCGAAUCGGAGAAGAACAUACUCGAAAAAGAUCUAAAGACUAAAAUACAUCAGUGUGGAAUGCUUGAAAAGGACAAGCAAGAUCUACAGGAAGCGAACCGGUUGUUGAAAUCAAAACUGAUCAAAAGAGAGCAACAAGAGCAAAAGCUGAGAGCUGAACUGAAAUUUGAGAAUUUGAAGUUUGAGAGUUUGCAUGACUCAUACAUGGUUUUGCAACAAGAUUAUUCCUAUACACUCAAUGAUAACAAAACUUUGCUUCUGAAAUUUUCAGAAUUUAAAGAUGGAAUGCAUGUAGUUGAGGAAGAAAAUGAUGCAAUUCUUCAGGAGGCUGUUGCUUUGAGUAACACGUGUGUUGUUUACAGGUCCUUUGGGUCUGAAAUGGCUGAGGAGGUCGAAGAUUUUGUUGAAACUGUAAGCAGUUUACGAGAAAUUAGUACGGGACUGAAGCGCAAGGUUGAGACACUGGAGAAGAAGUUAGAAGGUAAAGAGAAAGAAAGUCAAGGUCUUAACAAGAUGCUGGAAAAUUUACAGGAAGGCCUUGAAGAAGACAACUUCUUAACUGGACUCUUGGAACAUCAGGUUUCUAAUGUAGACGAAAUCUUGGAACAUAGGGAAAUGGAGAUCCUAGAAGCAGAGCAUAUGCUCAAGGCCACAAACAAUGAAAACGAAGAGCUGCACAAAGAAGUUGAGGAGCUGAGGAAAGACUAUGAAGACUCAAGACGGAUGAGGGCAAAUUUAGAGUGGCAGAUUUCUGAACUGUCAGAUGUUGCUGGAAGACAGGAGGAAGAGAUUAGAAAACUUAACGCUUUGAAUGAGAAUUUGGAGUCAGAGGUACAGUUUUUAAACAAAGAAAUUCAACGACAACAGGUUCGAGAGGAGUACCUGAGUUUGGAGCUGCAAGAGAAAAGCAAUGAGAUUGGACUUUGGGAUUCUGCGGCAACAUCUUUCUACUUUGAUCUUCAGGUCUCAGCUAUCCGUGAACUCAUUCUUGAGAACAAAGUUAACGAACUCUCAGGAGUUUGUGAAAACCUCAAUGAUGAAGUUGUUACGAAAACGACUAAGAUUAAACAGAUGAAAGAAACAGUUGGAUUUUUGGAGUCUCAAGUGACUGAGCUGAAGAGUCAGUUGUCAGCUUAUGAUCCUGUGAUAGCAUCUUUGGCAGGGGAUGUAAAAGCCCUUGAGAAAAGUACACAUGCUUUAACGAAAUUUCCUGCAACAGCCUAUCAACAAAGAGUGGUAAACUUUUGCACUCGUUCUUCUAUUUCAAAUGUCAACUCAUCUUUCUCGCUGUACCGAUCUUAAAUAAUUCUAAACAUUUCCAUUUUUUUCAGGGAAACAAUCUGGAAGAAAGCGGCAGUACCACCAGCCCAUGCAAUGGAAUUGUGAUUCUGAAGGAAAUUAAUCCAAGUAUUAAGACCAUCGAACAAGCAUUUGUUAAAGAAAAAGGCAGGCUAUCAAGGCAAAUAACACGAAGCACCUCCCAAAAACGCAGAGACCGCAGGAAGAUUGAAAAUAUACAACCUGAUGACCAGGUCACUGGUGAAUCUAGACAGCCAAGAUUGAGGCCUGAGAUGACAGAGGUGAAAAAUGAAUUAUUAAUGAAAGACAAUCCUCGUGAUCAAGUCACAGACUCCCUGACCUAUGGCAGAAGCCAGGGAACUAGUCAUGGUUCCAAUGACAUGUUUGAGUUUUGGGAUGAAUCUGCUGAAUCAGAGACCAGUGUAAACUUUCUCAUCAACAGUAACAAACCGCAGAGGUCAUUGAACUCCAAUCUCCGUCAUCAAAGCCGGAAUCCCUCUAUAGAAUCUGAUAAAGCGGUUGGAGUUGUUGACAAACUAGAGUUAUCUAGAAACAUCGAAGACAAGGCAAAGAUUCUGGAGAGACUUUUGUCUGAUUCAAGGAGACUGUCAAGUCUCCGGAUUAGCCUAACAGAUCUGAAAAGAAAGCUGGAGAUGAAUGAGAAACAAAGAAGAUUCAGCAACGCUGAUUUGGUUAUAGUGAAGAGACAGUUGAAAGAAAUGGAAGAAGCUGUCUCGCAGCUGGAAAACACAAACGAGAUUCUUUCAAAGGAAAUUGAAGAGACUGGAGAUGCCAGAGAUAUAUACAGAAAGGUGGUCGUGGAGAAGUCAAGAAGCGGGUCUGAGAAGAUAGAGCAGCUGCAAAACAAAAUGCAGAACAUUGAGCAAACAGUUCUGAAGCUUGAAGAUGGCACCAAAAGCAAAGGAAGGAAAAUGUUUUCAGAGACUAGGACAGUGAUUCUCUUGAGAGACAUUAUUCAUAAGGGCGGAAAAAGAAGUGCGAGAAAGAAGAAAAACCGGUUCUGCGGGUGUAUAAGGUCUUCGACUAAAGAAGAGUAGGGUGGUUCAUAAGGUAAAUUACAUCUAGUCUUUCAUAGAUUAUUGUAAAGAUAUUCAUUGAACUGACUCUAGAAGAGUAUAAUAUGAUAUGAUUUCUGAAAUAUUGUAGCAACUAGCUUAAGAUGUAUUUUAAAAUAAAGCUAGUGCUGGGGUUGAAUGAGAAACGUGGCAGAAACUCGGAUUUUAGAAGCAGACACAGUAUGUUUCGAUAUAGUAGAACUUCAAGAGAAGGAACCUAUAUUACAAGAAAUGUUUGGUUUUGUUGUGAAGAACAUGAUGGAUUGACAUCUUUAUUACACAACGACUAGACUACAGAUUUAAAAGUGUGCUAAGUGCUAACUUACUACCAACUAGAAGUUGACUUAUAUCAUCUUUCACCUUGAAAAAGAUUCAAAGAAUUUCCUUAGCUACACAACACCAAAUGCUUUCAGUGUUGGGGAGUGAGAGAAGGAAACGAUGGAAUCGACUGCAAUAUCAGUUUCCGCCCGCCAUUUCUUCUCCCUAAGAUUGAGCCUGAGCUAGAUGAUUCCAUAUGAGGAGGAGAGACCCUCUUUCCGUUGGGAGAGACACUCUUGAUGUUAGGUAUAGGGGAAUGGAUGAGAAUCUCAGGCAUUUGUUCAGCUCCAUCAACUGCGACUGUCUCGAAUGACUUCUCGAUUCUGGAUUGAGACAAACUAAUGUCUGGUUUUCUUAGAUAUUGACUGUUAAAUAUCCCUGAGGAAGAUCCACCUCCAAGAAGAGACUGUGGAGGAGGCAUCCUGUUCUUAGAUGAUGAGAAAGGUAGUUGAACCAGUUCUGGUCUGAAAAAAAAAACAAAAAACUCAGCUACUCAGGUGAUAUAGACUCACAUAAAAAGUCCUCUAGAAUUUGAUAUUCUACCUGUAAAUCGGCGUUGGUGUCGUAGGUAGAGCAGAACUCAUGUCCUUUCUCAUUAAAACCUCAGUGUUUUGUUGGCUUUUGGCUGUUCUGCUUUUCUCAGAUGUUUCAUUUUCCUCUUCUUGUUCGGCUUCCAUGUCAAUGGAAGACCCUGAGAUAUUCAUUAAGCAGAAUCAGAAUCAGAAAGAGAAUGUGAGGUUAUUAGUAAUGAAAAAUUGAAAACUCAGAAGCAGAGAAGCUAACCAUCUUUCCGGCCGAAUGCGUUCUUACAUCCUUCACAUCUACAGUUUAUGGAACAGCCCACACCACCCUUUAAAGAAACAACAUACCAAAUUACCGGAAUCAGGCCAUAGGAAGUUAAUCACAUGGAACCAUUGAAAGCACAUCGAUGAGGGAAAAUAAAAACCUGAUAGCAUUCACAGUAUUUCUUCAGACAGUUUGAUUUCUUGCAGUUGCAGCCACGUUUAUGGCGCGCAGAAGCUGGAGUUUUGCUUGCAUCAUCCUGUGUGUCAUUACAAUAUUAUUAUAACUUCAAGCAAGAUAGAUGGAUGAUGCAGAGGAAUCAAAGGACGGGGAAAAGAAUCCUACCCCGGUUUCUUGAACUGAGUCAGAGUUCCUAAUGACUUUAGGAGCAAAUGCAAGUGGAUUCCGAGAUUCAAUCUGUUUGCGAGUCGCCAGGACAACGUCUUCAUGGAUAGGUUUAUUGAAGCAGUCUAUACAUGAACAUGGCUCUAUGCAAUAGACUCCAGCAGCAAAGCAUUCACAGUAACUGCACCACACAAACAUCAGAAGACUCAAAACACCAAACUUUUUUGAAGGGCCAAAGAUCAAAAAUGUGGAACUUUGGAGCUUACAGUUUCAAACACUUGGACUUUUUGCAGUUGCAUCGCUUACACGACUCGCCUUCUCCAGAAUCCAACUUAACCCUGUGUGUUUAUCAUGCCAACAGUUAUUAAGACAGAGAUAAAAGGACUCUACACAGAGGAGUUACUCUUAAAGGAAAAAAUCUUACCUCUUCUUCUUAGGGCUGCUCAAAUUUAACUCUUGCAAAGCUGGUUCAACAGGAACAUCUUGAUCUGCAUCUUCCCGGAUUUCAUUUUCUGUUUGGUCCAAAGAAUCUUGCAGUGUAGAGAUGGACCUUUGUAAACCCACUUGUAUAUUCGCAGAACAUGAGUAAUCUUGAGUAACAUUGGUUUUACAGUCCUUUGAAGACAUUAAAAUGGCAUUUAGAUGAAGACCAAUACUCGGUACAACACAUCUCGAAGAGGAUUCACAAGCCGCGGUGUUAUUCUCACUUGAUGUUUGCUUAUUCCCGGGCAUCUCAAAGUCAAGACAACGUCUUCUUAUACCACGGUGCAAGAGUGAAACAGCCUAUCACACAAAACAAAAACCAAGAAGACAACUCUUUUAGAGACAGUAAGUAUUUAUAAAACACUGAAGAUAACUACUUGUGAUAUUACUCCUGAGUUUACCUCAUAAGGAAUCGCAUUCGCGGACUCCGGUUCCUUGUUUGAAUCGUGCUGCAUUGUUUGCUUCUCCACACCAUUUCUAAAACGUGCUUCAGAGUUUGAUGCUCUCUGCAUCAUAAAGCAUCUAAAAGCCUCAGAAGCAUCAGGUGAGUCAAAGAUUAACAGCUCAGAAGCAUCUGCAAUCAAACUUUCCCAAUCCGGAGUUUCAGUUUUCCCCUGAACAUUAUCAUGCAUCUUCUGCAGCUCCAUUCCAUUAUCCUCACAAGAACCAUCCUCUCCUCGAGUAGGAGCGUAAGGAACAAGCGAAAGAUCAGUAGUAUUUCCACCACACGGUGAAGCAACGGAAUCAUCAAGAUUCGUUUCAACUGAAGCUUCUUCUCGCAUGCAAUCAUCUAUGUUAAGACCUUUUGUAUCUUCUCCUUCUGCUGGAACUUCUUCAUGAGAAGUAGACUCGUCUUCUUGAGAUUCAACGGAAUUGGUAGGAUCAGAAGAAGAAGAGUUGUGAGUUUUGAAGAAUCUGGAUUCUUUGUGAGAAGAAGUUAGGUGAGGUGAAGUGAAAACAGAGGGAGGGGAAGUGAAAUUCAGAGAGCUAAAUUGGUUAGGAUUUGGUAUGGAUCUGACUGGUCUUAUUGGAGACAAACUGUUUAUGUAAUUGAACACUGGAGAAUCCUGCAUUUUCAGACAAAACACAAAAAGGGGAAGAUUAUGAAUCUUAUUUUGGUACUGUAAUUAAGGUUACAGAUUCCAAUUAAAAGAAUCUUAUGAGACAGAACAGAAACAAAAGUACAGAUCUUUUAGCGAAUUAGGGAUAAAUAAUCAUAAUAUGACAGAAACAACUAAACCAUCAGAUUAAAACAACUAAAAUUUGCAUUAUAAUUAUGAAUCUUUUUUGUACCAUUAAGGUUACAGAUUCCACAAUUCAAAGAAUCUUAAGAAAAACAGGACAGAAACAAAAAGUAUAGAAUUUGUAGUGAGAAUUGGAGAUAACUGAUCAUAAUUAACAACACUUCACUGUAACAUGUGAAACAACUAAAACCGUCAAAGUCAAACAAAUCUAAAACCAGUUACAGUUAUGUCUUUGAACUAACUGCAUUGACUUCAAACACAAAACCAAAGUACUUUUUUUUUUUUUUUUGUAAAAAAAUGAAUUGAAUAAUUGGUCCAUUAAACCUAUGAAAUCUGAAUUUCUAUGACAAUAAAUUAGAAAAGAAUUCAGAGAAAUCUGAUAAUUGGCACAAAAAAACAGCAAAACAUUUCAUUAAAAUACAAAAACACAGAACUUUGACCAAACCAAUUAUUAGAGUUAUACAGAAGAAGAAAAACCUCGAAUCUGGAUUUGGAAAUUGGAGUUCCGAUCUGAGUAAUACUCUUCUGAGGGGUAUCCAUUUUCCAACACACAAACAAAAAAAAUCACAUCCACAAACACAGUGUCACUCUCUCUCUCUUUCUUAUCUCUGAGGAAAGUCUCAGUCUUUUAUUAAGUUUCUCUCUCUCUCUCUCUAUAUAUGUCUUUAGUGGAAGAAGAAGGAGGAGGAGGAGAGAUAUUCAAACAAUAGCAAAGGCGGGAAAUGGGGACUAUGUCAGAAAUCAGACCCACCACUACUAUCAACUUUGCCCUAACACCUGUCUCUCUUUCUCUGUAUUAUAUACAACAAGUGUCUCUAUGUAUCUGUGUAUGUAUAAGCAGUGAAUAAUGAAUCUUUGAUGCUUUGCUUUGUCUGCAAUCUAAGUCCAAGUAUAAGUAAUAUACUCUCUCUCGAUUCCUAAACCUUUUAAUAAAGUAACGGACAUCAGUUUUUUUUUUCUUUUCCCUUUUUUCUCUUUUUUGUUUUAGUUAUUAUUAGUGGACAGAAAAUAAUAGAAUAAGGAAUUUGAGAAUUUUACAGUUCUAUUAUUCACUGCUGCUGCUUCUCUUUUGUUUCUAUGCAAUAAAAAAAAAAUUUGUUUUCUCUCUUUUGUUAGGUGGUUUAUUUACAAUGCAAUUUGCCACUAAGUACUAACAAUGAAUACGUCUUUGUUUUUAUAACGUUGAAAGUCUUUUUUUUUGUUUAAUAACGUUGAAAAAACCAAGUCUUAGUUCAUGCACGCUUAAUAUGUCUCUCUAUACGCUAUAUCAUAAUUUUAUGGAUUUGUUAGCAAACAAAAAAAUAAAAUUACCCGAAACAGUAAUGCACGCUUUUUAGUGCAUAAGAGGAAAAAAAAGAAGAGAGAAUUAAAAGACUGACGACUGACAGAGAGGAUUGUUUAUGGUCAGUAGCACAUUAUAAGGCUAAAACUGGGAGAAUUAUAUAUCAGUAGUCACUAGAUUUGCUAAUCACGAGAAAGCGUUUAUGGUCAAUUAUUCAGAAUAAUAAAUUAUGAUUUACACUAAUGACUAAAUAACGCUCGAUAAAUCAUGUACAUUAUUGCAUAAAAUUGCCUUUUCUUGUCAUAGACAUUCUUGUACCAAUCUGUUUGACUCAAAUAGUUUCUCUCUUACAAAUACUUUGUAAUUAUUUGUACACGCUUCUAACAAAUAAUUAAGAUCUACCUAAAAGAAAUGAUUGCAUGUGUCUAUUAUUUUUGUACACUAAAACUGUCUCCAUGUGAUCAUUAGAUCAUGAAAGUCGGUUGUAUAUACACAUUUUAUGUUUUAUCAUUCACGAUCAUAACAAAAAUAGGAGUAACAUGAUUACUGUGAUCUAAAAUGUGGUAAUUAAAAUACAAAGUGCCGGGCUAUGGUAAUAAAAAUAAUUUCAUCUUUUCACGUAUUAUAUUUUAAAUGUUUCCACUAAAACAAGAUAUUAAUAAAAAUAGCCAAAAACAUGCCUUCCCCGUGAACGCCUUUAAAGUUUAAAAGACCUAAGAAUUUAAUAUAAAAUCGCCGGUGGGGUUACGUUUUUGUUACUACGUGAUUUUUUACCGAAUUUACAUUUAUAUCCAUGUCCUUAUCUAGGAGCCAUCAUGUUCCCCCAUGGGUAUUUUCGGAAUUAACAAAGUGACAGCUAGGCGUUAUGUGACAAUGGGCGGGAAAAUGGAUUUAUAACGAAAGAGUAGUUCAUGUACGCUGUGGUUUACUUUGUUAUGGUGCGCUAUUGAGAUGGUGGGAUCUAAUGGAUGGUAGACAGACACGUGGAUGGACGUUGAGUCGUUGACUUAAAUUGGCUUCGCAAGUUACGGUGUCCGAACGUCGAACUACGUGGACAUGUAACCCAGAUCUUGUGUCUACCAUCCAUUCUCUUUGCAUUGGUCAAAGAGAGACCACACGACGAAAAUGGCAUAAUAAUUUCUGUUCGAAUGUUUUUUUUCGUGAUAUAAGAUUUACUUUAAAACGAUAAUUGUAUGAAUUCUGUUCGAAUUACAUCAUUAUCGAAUAUAUAUUGUUGUAAAUAGUCUAAUUUAAAAAAAAAUAAAAAAUUGUCACUUUAUUAUUAUGUAAAAGUGAUGUCGUAACAAAUUUAUAAAUAAAUUAAAAAAAUAGAAAAAAAAUAGAAAUAAAUAUCGAUUAGGAGGAAGAUAAAUAGAGAACUGAACAAAACCAAACCAAAUCGAUAAUUAAGUGUCAUUACUUAUUCUUCAGUCCUUUGUAGUUUGUAUCAUCUUGUCUGCUAUCCUUGUAAUUUUUAUGCUUUUUACAUAUUCUACUUGUAAUCUUUUUAAAAUUAAAGAAGGAUGGAAAAGAAAAGGAAAUAUAAGGAUAACUAAAUUAAGAAAACAUACAUUCAUACAAAAAAUGAAAAAUAAAACAAUGACAUAUGUAAAACAUAAAUACAAACAAUUAGAAGUUGAUUUUAGUAUGUUAUUUUAUUUGAUAAUACAUUAUUUUAAAUAGAGUAAAACUUUUAUAAAUCAAUACUCGAUAAAUUAACGAUCUCUAUAAAUUAAAAAAUUAUUUCGAUCUGAGUUGGGACAAGUGUAAAAAAAUAUUAUAAAUCGAUAAUUUAAAAAAACGGUUUAAAAAAAAAAUCUUAUAUAUGUAGACAUCUUAUAUAUUACAAAUAUCAUAAAAUAAUCUGUAUAAAUUCAUCAGUGUACAUAUAUGUACAAAUUAAUAUUGUUAUAUAUAUAUAUAUAUCAUAGUAAUUAAUACAUGUAAAUAUUUUGUGAAAUAUCACUCUAAUAUUGUUUGUUUUUCCUAAAUUUGUAUUAAUUCUUGGUAAAAUUAUUUUUUAAUACUUUUAUUACAUCAAAAAAGUUCGUGUUGUUUUCUAAACUAAAGAAUUACUUUUCUACUUGUAAUUGGUUUUAGAAAAAUAUUGAUUACAGUGAAAAAAAACUGUUCUUCAUAUAGAUAUUUUUUUUAGAAUUACAAAACUAGUAAAAUCUCUCUUCAAAUUGAUAAUUAUUAAUUUAGUUAUGAUUUUGUCAUCAUACAGUUUUUGUUUUGUAAAAUUAGGCUAUCUAUCUAAUUAACCAUGUAUUUUAUUAAUACUAAGAAUUUCUUAAUAUUUCCUCCAAAAAUUGAAACACUCUAACAGUAUUUGGUAUUUGGGCAUUGGUAAGGUCAUAAAGUUGUAUUCACAAUUAUGAAAAAUGGGGUGUUUUCGUGUUUGUUGGUUUUAAGUAGGAAUGUUGAAAAAUGUGUCUUUUGACAUAUGUGUUUGUUGGUUUUAAAGUAGGAAUGUUGUACGGUUAGGUGGUGGUUAUAUUGGUGUAAUGUGAGAGGGACAUUUUUUUCUAAGCAUAUAUAUAUGCUUCCUUUGUAGUCUUGAGGCCUAACUCACGAUCAAAAAAUUCAAAUUAACUUUACGUUUUAUGUUGAUAUAAGAUGGGCUUGAACGAAACGGAUUGAGUUAGUCUAAAGUCUAAACAAUAAUCCGUAACUAUAUAUAAUUAUUAAAAAUAAUGUGGUGAAAUGUCGACAUUUAUAUAUGGCUAAGAUCACUUAUAAUUUACAAUAAUUGCAAUCAUUCUAGCUAGAGUCAUAUACUGAUUUAUCUUUGUUCGUUGGAUCUCACAUAAGUGAUAUUUACUAACACCCAUUGAUAAGGUAGGUAGCUAGAUUGAACCCAAUCUUUAUAGAUGUCAAACAACUUAAAAAUGAGUGCUAGCUACAUAUAGAACUAUUAGUGACUUUGUGGCCAACCACUGGGUUGAUUUUUUCUUUUUGUAAAUGUUAUAUAUCAAUAUCGGUGAGUAAUCUUUAAUCCCGUACGUAAACAGAAAAUGCAGCUGAAUGACGAAUUGCUUUUAGUAAAAUGAUAGUGAAUUCCCUAAUUAUUCAACACUAUAAGUAAAUAUCGUUGGUACACAUGCAAUGAUGCAGAUUUACCAAGAAAGUAAUACAUAUUAAUAUAGAUGCUGCAAAUCCAGGAAAUGCAUAACGCGAAAAAAUGUCGUAAAUACACCGAAAACAAAAGGAAAACAAUUCGUAAAAAUAGCAAAAAUGAUAUGGAAAAUUGAAAGAAUUAUAACAAAAAUAGAAAAUAUGGACUAGAUUAUUGAAUAAAUUGUAGUCUCCAAAGUAAUACAUAUGGAGAGAAGGAAAAGCAAAUUCUUCUGGCAUAAAGAAGCUCCAUGCUAAAAUCAUAAUGUCGACCAAACAUGCUGCCUGCAAGAUCACGUGCCUACAUGCCACAUCACGUGACCUAAAACACAUAAGAAAGAUAUCCUUCGUAUGUAAGAAAACAUAUUAAAUUAAACGCAAUACAUUGAGUCUUUACAUAUAAUUGUUAGUAUUUAUAAACUAUUAUAUAUAAAGUUGUUAGUUGAACUUUUAGCGAAUGUCAGGUAGCUUGAUACUUAGUGGCAGAUCAUUAGUCAAAGAUUAAUAAAGAAUUAAAGACUAUAAAACAAAUAAUUAUUUACAUUUUGAUUAGUACGUAAGUCAAGAUCCCUCUCAAUGCUUCUCACAAAAUGACUAUAAGAAAAAGCCAAAGGUACCAAAGUCAUUAUUUAGUCUCAUAUGUUUGUAAGGUGAAUCUUUAUUUUUUUUUUGUAUAAUAAGGUUAUGACUUAUGAAUCGAACUAAAGCUAUUAAAAAAAAUAUUGCUCGGAACAAAAUGUCUAGUUUCUUGAAUUGUUGAAUUAUAAUGGGAUAUUUUUUGGAGAAUUAAGGAUUUGUUAGUUUUAGAAGAACUUAGGGAUGAAUGGUUUAGCCUUUGGAAAGUCGACAAUUGAACCAGUUCGGUGGUCUGGAGUAUAGCUCCGAGUCGAGCUAUCCUAUAAGGAGAAUUUUAAAAAACUAUCGCUGGUCGAGGACUUUUAUAGUUGAGGACAUGAGUCCGUUGCAACAAACAAAUGAUAUCAUCAAACAAUAACAUAUUAACAUGGUACGUGAACAGAUGAUUCUCCAUAAGAAUAAAUGGAGGAGUGUCUUUCUAAAUAUUUACUGACGCUACAAAAUUACAAAACUUGCUGAAAGCUUUGGAAUAAAGAUAAAUAAACAUAGUUUGUUUAAAGUCAUAGAAAAAUUAAUAUGUGACGACUCGGCCGUAUAUUUGAGUUAGCUUAGUAAAAAAAAAUGAAAGAUAUUAUAUAUAGCCAUUUAAAAAAAAGAGAUGAGAUGCUUACGGGAGAACUUUAAGUUGAUUGCUUGAAGACCGAACCCAUAUGUUAAGCUAAAAUUAGAUGUUUUGAUGAAACAUAUAUCGGGUACUUCAUGCUUCAUGCUUGAGCGUUUGAAUGCAUGAAAGCUAGACUCGUUCGGCCUAAGUGCGGGACUAGCCGAUCUUGGAUUUUUUUAAAAAAAUAAUUAAUAACAAGUUUAUAUGAAUUAUAUUGCAUAUUAUGAUUUUUUCUAAGUGUCUUUUGAUUGCGAGAUGUCUACGUAUCGUUUUGUGAUUCACAAUCCUAACUCAAUCAAGAUUUCUGUGUCGAUUUUUUACGCAUGUAUGAAUUAGAUAAGUUUGUAGUUGACAAUUAUUUUUUGAAAAACGGUAUUUUCUCGUAAUAAUUUUUUUGUCCAUUCCUCUUAGAUUGAUGUGAAUAAUUGUAAUAUAUAUUUUUGGGCUGACCUUGGACUUUGCAAGUCUCUCGUCUUUUCUCUUUAAGUACAAAAAAGUUGGUAUGCAAUUCUUUUGACUUAUGUACUCACGAAUCAAGGUGAAUUUCAACUUUUUCAUUUUUUCAUAUCAAUAUAUUGAUUUCAAUAUAACAAAGUGGAGCCACGCCGAUAUAUAUAAUAUUAAGACUUGUUUUUCUUUAUCACCAAUGUCCGGCUCCUUGAAGAGAUAAACAAACCAUGUUAUAAAAAGAGGAUGUCUAUUUGAGCUUUUUAGAUGAUAAUAUAUGUUUUCUAAUAGCUAGUGUUCGAAGGUGAGAAUGUUAUGUUUAUAUAUAUCACAUCAUCCCCGAUUUCUACUUUGGAUCUUAAAGAAAUAAUACCGUUCACUCAUAACCGGAUAAGUGGAAGCUGUUAUUCACUAGAUAUGGUAUAUUGGUAUUACUAUUAACCUUUUGAAGUCAAGUGGAGAUUUAACUGCAAUAAAUUUUGGUCAUACCAGAUACAAUGCUAGAUAAUAAAAGCUUGACAUGGUUUUCUAAAUGUUAAUGGUUUUGAGAGCGCGUACAUAUGUAGAUUGAUGAAUGGAAGCUUGACAUGCUUUGGUCAAAGAAAGAACUGCAACUAAUAAUUUGAUAUUGGCUAUUAUAUUAAGGUGUUUAGACCAACUAUACUACUUAUAGGUUUAUGAAGUCAAAUGUUUUUGACUUUUCAGUAAGAUAUACAUGUACAUGUCAAUCUUACGUAUAGAUGUGUAUUGCGACACAAAACAAUAUAUUUAAGAUUGGGUUUGAUCACAUCUUGGACCGGGCUCCUUCAAAACAAUUUAUGUUUGUUUGUAUUGUAUUUUCAACUUUUUAAAAAAAAAAUAGUUCAAAAAAACUUGGGAACCCCGGGAAAACAUGUACACACGGGUUCGUGGUAAGAUUUUUUAGAAAUUACCUAAACAUAAUAGUUUGAAUGGUUUCUAUAUGUUAAAUGUAUUUCAGUAUGAACCCAAGUGAUAAGGCGCAAUGGUAAGUUGGGAUACAUUAUGUAGACACUUCAGUGUGUACGUUGGAUUUCUCUACGUACUAAAAUCUUUAGUAUAAAGAUAUUUAUUUCGUAGACUUACUGGUUUGUCAAAGUCUUAAGUACCGUUUGAACCGAUCAAGCAGGCGACUAAAUCUUCUGCCUUAAGUUUUUAUGGGUCUUAGUUUGGGCCAUCCAUGUAAAUUGGGCCUCAAGAUCUCAGUUUGUAGUAUAUGACAAGCCUUAACAUUUGAUAACAUAUGUACUCAAUUUAAAAGAAAACUAUUUUGUUUUUGUUCAAUGGCUAAUAAUAUGUAUUUCCUGCCAAAUUAUAAUUUUAUAUGUAUGCAUUAUCAUACAUUAUAUAUGCAUUUAAUAUUUCUAUAUUAUAUAGACAUAUUUUUCUUUUUUAAAAUGUUAAAAUAUUACAAAACUGAAGAUAUAAAUGUUUAAUUCUGUUUAGAUAUAUAUUUCAAACACAAUAGAUAUAUACAUUAUCAAAUAGUGGAUAUACACUUUAAUAUCCUACGCGAUAUAGUUGGAAAAAAUAUAGAAAACAAGAAGAUAAAGAUUACCAUAGAUUUAAUCUCUUAGAUCUUUAGAGAUUAAAACCUAAUUGAAAAUUCAAACAAUUAGAAGGUAUUGAAUUUAAUAUUUUCAAUAUCUCUAAGAACAGGUCUACCAAUAGCAAAACACAUAAUCCAAUUUUUGUUUUUAAUUCAGUUUUUUGGAUAUGAUUUAGAUGGGAACGAUUCAAUUUAUCAGAUAGAUUAAAAAAAUAAAUGUUUUUAUGAUAUUUACUUCCUAUUUUAAAAAAUCCAAAAACCAAAGAUAUGUUUUGAUGAUAUUUCUUUAAGAAAUAUUUGAGAGAAAAAAACAAAUAAAUACGUAUCCUUAAAAGAAGCCUGAAAGAAACAGCUUCUGUUCCGUCUUUCACUCUCCAUCUCUCUUCCGUCGUUUCCUAAGUCCUUUUCUCUUAUUUAGAGAUUCUCUCUUUUCAUCCAAAAAAAAGGAGAGAUAUUUCAGAAACAAUCCUCUGCUUCUGGAGAUAAAUCUCGCUCUUUUAGCCUCAUAAUCCAAAACCCACCAUUAAAAAUCCUCUCUUUCGUUCCCUUUGAACCCAUCAAUUUCAGUUUGCUUAUUACGUCUCUGUUCUCUGCAUGUCCUUGUGGUUGAUACAGCUGACUUUUGGUUUUGUCGUUUAUGUUAAUUGAAUUUUAAUAUUUGAUCAUCGUUGUGCUAUAUUAGUGGUUAACGAGUCGUUUUCUUAAGGUUUACUUUUUCGUAUUGUCACGUUAGAUUUUUUAGGCUACAAUUGUAGAGAAAUUCAUUAUCUGAAUGUCAAACCAUGUGCAUGAUCUUUGAGAAAGUUUGGUGAUUAAUAGUUUCUUCAUUAUUAAAGCUGCCUUUGUUUAACUUAGCAAUCAUAAGAUUGUUUUUGAUAACUUUUGUGUGAUUUAACUAUUCACUAGUAAUAAUCUGAAAAAAUUAGUACUAGAUUUCAUGAUGAUGAUGAAAAGAUUGAUGAUUUGAGUCACAAAAUCUUGUUUUUUGAAAGUUGUGUGAUCUUCUUGUUUGCAUAGUGAAUUAGUUUUGAUUUGAAAAGAUUUUAAGUAAUGGAGAAGAAAUCAGAAGAAGAUGGGAACAACACGACGAAAGAAAAGAUCUUUAGAGCGGAUAAGAUUGAUUUGAAGAGUUUAGAUAGACAGCUUGAGAAACAUCUGAGUAGGGUUUGGUCGAGGAACCUUGAGGUGAAUCCUAAAGCUAAGGAAGAAUGGGAGAUUGAUUUGGCUAAGCUUGAAACAAGUAAUGUUAUUGCUCGUGGUACUUAUGGUACUGUCUACAAAGGCAUUUAUGAUGGACAAGAUGUUGCAGGUAAUAAUAAUAAACUAAAUCCAAAAUCUUGAUCUUGACUUAUGUUUUUGUUAGAGAUUGUGACUGUGUUUGAGUAAUUUGCAGUGAAGGUGCUUGAUUGGGAAGAUGAUGGGAAUGAAACAACGGCCAAGACCGCUACAAAUCGAGCUUUGUUCCGUCAAGAGGUCACUGUUUGGCACAAACUCAACCAUCCAAAUGUCACAAAGGUUAGUUGGUUAAUAAGUUAGUUAGUUAAUUCACUGAAUUGAGUAUUGAAAUAUUGAAAUGAAACAGUUUGUUGGAGCGUCGAUGGGAACAACGAAUCUUAAUAUACGAUCAGCUGAUUCGAAAGGCUCGUUGCCUCAACAAGCAUGUUGUGUGGUUGUGGAAUAUCUUCCUGGUGGAACAUUGAAACAACACUUGAUUCGUCAUAAGAGCAAGAAACUCGCUUUUAAAGCCGUUAUCAAACUCGCUCUUGAUCUCGCCAGAGGGUAAUUAAUUAGUCUUUUGACACUGCUAAUCUUUUUCAGAUUUGUGCAAACAAACAUCUUAUUGUUGUUCUUACUGCAGGCUAAGCUAUUUGCACUCAGAGAAGAUUGUCCACCGCGAUGUGAAAACAGAGAACAUGCUUUUGGAUGCUCAGAAGAAUUUGAAAAUAGCGGAUUUUGGAGUAGCACGAGUGGAAGCUCUUAAUCCAAAAGACAUGACAGGAGAAACCGGUACUCUUGGAUACAUGGCUCCUGAGGUAAAACUAUAACCUUUUUUUUUGUUCUCUCUGUUUUCAAAACUGAAUCGAAUUUAACUUAGUGUUGUGUUUAGGUCAUUGAUGGUAAGCCAUACAACAGAAGGUGCGAUGUUUACAGCUUUGGGAUAUGUUUAUGGGAAAUCUACUGCUGCGAUAUGCCUUAUCCUGAUCUUAGCUUUGUCGAUGUUUCUUCCGCGGUUGUCUUACAUGUAAGUUUUUGACCUAAGAAAACCCUAGCUAGUUUUCCUUGAUACUUACGUAAUGUCGAAUUCUGAAACUUUUUUUCUAUGGUUUUAAAAAAGAAUCUGAGACCGGAGAUACCGAGAUGCUGUCCGACUGCAUUGGCGGGCAUAAUGAAGACAUGUUGGGAUGGGAAUCCGCAGAAACGGCCGGAGAUGAAGGAGGUGGUGAAAAUGCUUGAAGGUGUUGAUACCAGUAAAGGUGGCGGAAUGAUACCGGAAGAUCAAAGUCGGGGCUGUUUCUGCUUUGCUCCUGCUCGUGGACCUUAAAUUUCCCUUUCUACCUCUGUUUGGUUUUAUUGUCUUGUUUUUGUCGACAUUUAACUGAAUGCCCCUUUUGCUUCUUCUCCAAGAAACUUCUUUUAACAAGAUUUGUUAAAUAAAUUAUUUUGAUCAUUGUGAAUCUAGUCAUUGUGUUUUUUUGUUUUAUAAUGAUUAGGAGGUUCUUGACCCGUGGAUCUGAACAUUAAUCCGCACGACGGUAGACAAAUCAUGUAUUUUUUUUUUUUCUUUUAGAGAGCAAACUUUUACCGACACGAAUCGAACAUGUGAGAUUCAAGGUCUCUACGUUGUUCACAAACUAAAUACUGUAUCGUAAAUCUAAAGUCGUGUGGGUUUGUAAGAAACGGUUAAAAACACUUGUAAAAUUUUGACUUCAAAGUUCACCCUCAACCAGAAAUACUAGAGCAACUCAUCAUUGGUUUCUCAAGUUCUUUAAAAAAAAUAUUGCUUUAAUUAUAGUAAAAAUUGUGCUUCUAAAAAUGGAAGCCGAUUCUACCGAUCAUUUUGACUUGGCUCAUCCUUAUUUUCUCAAACUUAUCGGAAAAGUUAUGUUGUUGUGGUUAUUGUAUAUAUACUACCGGUGUUUACAAGUAACAACAAUAAAAUAUAUUUGUUACGAGAAGUUGACAAAAAAAAAAAUUUGGCCAAAUAAUAGAGAGAAUAUUUAUCAAUAUUGAAGCAUGAGGUGUACUACUUUGAUUAUGGUUUCUUUUGUUGUCAGCUGUUUGCUUCUAAGCCUUGUUGAAGGUAGUAUAUUAAUUUCUUUUAUUGGUUGUUUCAAAUAACAAAAAGUAGUGUUGCAAAACGAGAAAGCAGCUCAAGAAUAUGACGUAACUUAAAACUAUGGUAUUACUAAUUGCUUAUAUCUUUAUAACCUAAAUAUAUAUUUUGAUUGAUAAAAAAUUAGAAUCGGAAGCUGGAGCACCUCCCGUAGAGUGUUGGAGUGAGAUCCUAUUUUCUGGAAAAUGCGGGUUUCAUGGAAAGAAGAAAUGCUACAAAGAAAUGGAAUCUAAGCUAAAACAACGUGUUCUUAAAUGUAGAUGUGAGGAUGUUAAAAAAGAUUCCAAUACAUCUAAGGACGAACAUUACUGCGGAUGUCAAAGAGAAAAUCCCUAUGAGUGUAACUAAAAUCUUUUAAAAAUUUCAGCUAUCAAUACGAAAAUUUGUUUACUAAUUAAGAAAUAACAAAAUAAAAACUACGUACACGAGUUUUUGGUGUAGACGACAGUAUGGUAAGCUAAUGUUUUUUUCUUCUUCUGAAUAAUAAGUAGUUGUCAUAGAACUUCAUUUGUAUAACUAAUUUCAGUCAUGUAAGAAUCUAUAUCAUUUGUCGCUUUGUUGUCUUAAAACUGUUUAAAUCUAAUAUAAAGAGAGCUUUUGUCCAAAUAGCCUUCCACCGUGGAGGACUAGAAUGUGCUCCAUGCCUCCAUGAUGAAGUGAGAGAGAUCGCUAUAAGAGUACGUUUCUUCUUUAUGCAUUUUGUGAUCUACAUUACAAAAUUAAAGGUCAAAAUUCAAAAAAGAAAGAUAUAAAGAAGUCGAGACAAAACUUAUUUCAUCAUCAAAUUCAACAAAAUAAACUGAUUCACGCUAUUGCUACAAAGUGACUUCAUAUCUGAAGUAAAAACAAUAUUAUGGAAUGCAUGUGACAAAUAUUAUUAAUGCAUUUCUUACAUCUUAAAGCAUGUCAUGUUUAACGAAAUGAUAAAAUGAACAAAUAAAUCAAAUGGUUUAUCUACUGUUAAUGACAAUUUUUGAGUGCACCAUUAUCAAAUACUGUUAAGAUCUUGUCUUUACUUUUUUCCUUGGUGAACAAACCAACGAGAAGAACAAGACAAUUGUCCAACCAAACUUGAAGUUUAUUCUGAGAGUUUUUGCCGCCUUAGAUAUCGUGAGAAGCGGGCAGGAGAGUUUAGUCUAUUUCCCUCUAAGAAUUGCUCAAUCAAUCUGUAAAAUUCAAUGUUUCUUUGAAUCAAAACGUCAAGCAAAGCAGAGGAAAAGAUAAUGCCGUUUUCUAAUUCUAGCUACUUACAAAUUGCAGAUUGACUUUUGCGAAGCUGCUACUUCGCGGUCAGGAAAAGAAUCCUCUAGCCUUAAGCUUAACCAUACGUACAGAUCCAAAACCUGCUCAAUCGUCAUCUAGUUAAACUAACAAAAUCCACAUUUUCUCUCUUGAUUUUGGUUAAUGAACAAUUAAGAUCAUAAUGAGAUUAAACCCAUCUAUUGCAAUAUGAGCUUCGAAGAUUCUGUUUUAUCACGAGUUUUUGAAUAAAAUACAUACACUUCCUUUGAUCACUACUCAUAGAGGAAAAGAAAGAUGUUACCUUGUGAAUGGAUUCAAGUUCCUUGAGUUCUGUAGGUGUUUUGGGAACCUUCACUCUGUCAGGUGCAAGUAUCUCCCGGAGCCUCACAAUGCCUGCCUUCGAGAAGUUUUGAGCAAACUAAUGUACAAAGAAAAAAAAGUAAAAGUGAACAAUUUUUUUGCAGACAUAGAUACCUUUAUUGAUAUCUCAAAAUAAAAAAGAUAAGAGAUUCAAGUUUUUCACCUGUGCAAGUCCCUGACCUGAAAUUUCGUCAUUUACAUCAACUGGACUGCACAUAAGUAACAUUAGAUCAGUCUAAGCUGGUAUAUAUUUAAAUCUUAUUGGAUGCAGAAAACAAGAAAAGACGAAAAUAUGUUAUUUUUGCUAUUACCUGACCACGAAAAGAUACUUCUCUUGCAAUCCGAGGGGUAAUUCAUCAACAAUGGCAGCAACUUUCUGAAAAUCAAGACCAACAUAUGUGUUAAGAAAACAUUCUCUUUCUGAUAUCUGAACAAAACUACAUCAUAGCUGAGCUUUACCAUCAUGUCUUCAACAUUAGAGAUGAAGUAGUUUGAAGACAGCUUAGCAUUUUCAACAAAAUGUUCCUGCCAAAGUUAAUGAGCCAUGAUUUCAGAUCCAUUCAUAAGGACCGAAGGCGAGAAUAACGAAGGAAGAAAAUAUAUCUUACCAAUAUCUGGUACAACCCGUGUGUAGGGUGUGCUUGGGAAUACCCAGAUAGGAGGUCAAAUGUUGGAAAUAGUCCAGCACGCUGCAUGAUAGGAGUUUUGUGUAAACUUAGACAAGCUUAAGAAGGAACAGAUGUAGAGAACUAAUCUUAAUGCCAUAAAUUUGCCUCAAGAAUAGGUGAUGGAGACUUGAGAGAAGAGUGAAGCAACGGAAGAUCCUCUUUGUGCAAACAAGUUACUUCGCCAAUAGGGAACUUUGAUUGAAACCUGCCAGCUCUCCCUACAACAGGAUCAUCAGAACAUUAGAGAGGACAUACCAAUACUCUUGAUGUAUUAUUUGGUGCUUUUUGUUGAAAAUUUACCUGCAAUUUGUUUAAUCUCAGAUACUGUUAGGUCUCUGGUCUCGGAACCAUCAUAUUUUUGAAGGGUCGAGAAGAUAAUCCUUGAAAUAUUCAAAUUAAGACCCAUGCCAAUCGCAUCGCUGGCAACAAGCACAUCAAAGUCAUUGGUCUCAUCGUUAAACCUUGUUGCCUGCAGAUUUUAAAGCAUUUGGAAACAAAAAAAGAUAAUUCUUAGAGCAUCCAGUUAAGCCUAUAGCCAAGACAGUAAGGAACUCAAACCUGUGCCGUGCGAGUCUCUGGAGGCAACGAACCAUAAACCACAGAGCAAAGAUGCUUCCCCGCACGUUCAAUUGUUUUCUACGAAAAGGUACCAAAAAAAAGAGUAAAGAAUAUGUAUGGAAGCAUUCAAUACUCAUGACGCGUAGAGAAUAGAGCUAUGUAUGCAUAUAAUAUGAUGCCAAAAUGUUCUAUUUCUUUCGCAGCAAACUCAAGCAGAAAAAAGCAAAAUACAGGAAGAGAGAACAAGAUAAGUAACUGCUAACCUUAUACGCAUAUAUAUCUUUUCGGGAAAAAGUGACAAGACAAUCCCCAGUUUUAAUACUGGAAACUGAUGAAACAGGAACCUUCAAAGGGACUAAUGGUGAAAGCCUCUCAUAGGUAUGAACCUGAAUUCAAAAUAAAAGGGAUCAAGAGGUCGUGAUUACAUCAAGAGUAUUGGUAUUUAAUUAUAAACAAGAAAUAAUUAGAGAAGAAAAAGGGACUCUAGCUCGAAUAAACAUGAUACCUCGACAUCAUCUCCAGUUACUUUCAGUAUAUCUUCAACAAGAGGUACGACAGCUGGAUCGCCACAUAAAUGUAGCUCAUCAGCCGCGAUUCCAAGUAAAGCACGAGUAAAUGCAAAUCCCCUUUGUUUACAUCCCACCAUCUGAAAUUAGGGAAAGAAAGGAUGAGAAUAACAAACAAAAAGUUCUUGUCGAUUUCUUAAGCCAAAGUCGAGCAAGACUAGCCUGAAUUUCGUCAAUGAUGGCACAAUCGUAGACAGAUGUAACAUCAGCCAUUUCAACUGUCACAGCUUUGUGUGUUGCCCCUUCCACUAAGUCUUUCUCUUGUCCCGUGAUCAAAUCACAUGGAACAUUUGCUUUGUUUAACCGUUUAGCUACCUCCCAUGCCAACAAUCUUAACGGACCACAAUAUACACCUUCAAGUGAAAGAAGCAAAUUUUAAACAGUUCAAGAACUGGCUUCCAAAAGGUUUAUUAGUCACCUUCAAGGCAUACCUGAAGAACUCUGUUCAAGGUGCUUAAGGGCACUAUAUGUCUUCCCGCUGUUUGUCGGGCCAACAUGUAGAAUGACCUUACGCUUCUUCUUCCGAGCUAUAGGAUACCAUGUAUGAGGACAGCUAGAAUUCAAAGUAAUGACAGAAAUAUAAAUCAGUUCCUCUUUACUAAUCUCUCCACAACAACAAUGGAACUGCAAAGAGAAUCGCAAUUAGUUGCUACUGGGGAGCUAACAAAAAAAUUCUACAAGAAGUUUUACUCUUACGUGAGAUCAGUGAAAUCGAACUUUGAGGUGGUUCCAGUGCCAGUGAAAUCAAACUUUGGAGAUCCAGAGUUCUUUCUAUAAUUCCUAGUCAAGACACCUAAUCUCAAAAGGUCACCAAACUCAGGUUCAAAGUGAAACCGCCACAAACUUCCUUUAUCAGCUGAAACAUUAGGCAACACGAAGCCAUCAUAAGAUACAACGUUAAACCAAUCCAAUCUUCUUCUAGACACUACACAGAAACAGAUGUAGAAGCUGCAAAGCUCAUAAAGGUUCAAACUUUCUGUAUCCAGAUGAUCAAAAUUUCUGAUAGUUCCUUUCUAAGAUCACUUACAAACUACAAUCCGCAAUUUCUAACCAAAAGAGAACCAGAAAACAGAGAAAAAAA
rnacentral:lncRNA from 1 species